rnacentral:misc_RNA from 1 species
GAAAUGCGAUAAGUAGUGUGAAUUGCAGAAUUCAGUGAAUCAUCGAAUCUUUGAACGCACAUUGCGCCCUUUGGUAUUCCAAAGGGCAUGCCUGUUCGAGCGUCAUUUGUACCCUCAAGCUUUGCUUGGUGUUGGGCGUCUUGUCUCUAGCUUUGCUGGAGACUCGCCUUAAAGUAAUUGGCAGCCGGCCUACUGGUUUCGGAGCGCAGCACAAGUCGCACUCUCUAUCAUCAAAGGUCUAGCAUCCAUUAAGCCUUUUUUCAACUUUUGACCUCGGAUCAGGUAGGGAUACCCGCUGAACUUAAGC